CUGCGUUCUAGUCGUCGGCUUAGGUUUGGCCGGCGGUCAUCGUUGGUGUCCGUGGCCGUGGACAUGGCCGCGUGUGUUGUGUGUGCGUCUGUCAUUGCAUUGGCGUCAUCUCCCCCCGUCCGUGUCAUGUUGUUGUAGACCAUUUCGUGUUUAUGGCGGAAUAACUGAUCGUCGAAGGAAGGGCAACUUUUUUGAGUACUCCCAAGUCUAGAUGGAUGUUCUUUCUCGUGACUUUAUUUCUCUCUGGGAGUGGAUGAUUGCUUGCUCUGUCUGUCGACCAAGGUUGUCCACUCGGUUGGAGCUCGUCCACAGGAAAGGUGUGCUAAGAGCAACUCUAGCAUAUGCUGCAAAUCUGUACAUCCUGCAAAUAACUGCCGAUGUACGGUAUCAGGACAAAAAACGUACUCAUCCUCUAUUUUUUUUCUUUUUCGAAAAGUUUAACGCCCACACGUGUGGGCGUCUGGCAACUCGCCCACACGCAUGGAUUCUCAUCCAACCAAUUCUGCACGAAUCUUGGCGCGUUCUAGCAGUUUUUGUGUGCCACGUAGGACUAAGCUGGUGUGUGGGCAUUCAUCCGGUCGCCCACACGUUCUUUUUCACCACACGGGGGCUGGUGUGUGGGCGUUUAGCAAUUCGCCCACACACUAGUUUCACGCACGCAGAGGGGGCUGGUGUGUGGACGUUUAUCACUUCACCCACACCCAAAGCUGGCAGUUGCCAUGUGUUUCUGCAGGUAUAUGGCAACUGCCCUAGCUUUGCUUGUAAGCAGAUGUCAACUCUUUUUACCCGAGUUGUCAUGUGUUUUUGCAUGGUGCAUGGCAACUGCCGUAGUAUGCACGUAAGCAGAUGACAACUCUUUAUUUUACAUGGCAACUGCCCUAACGUGCUUGUGAGCACAUGUCAACUCUCUCUUUUACCCGAACAUGUUUUUUUGCCAUGCCUUCUUGUAGAGUGCUACAUGGCAACUGCCUAGUGUUUAGUGGGUGGCAACUCCUAAAAUUUUGAAAUCAUGGCAACUGCAGUAGAUCAGACCAUACAUGGCAACUGCAGUUGAGCAACCAUGGCAACUGUAGUUGUCCGACAUGGCAAUCGAAGUUCAGCGACAUGGCAACUGCAGUUAAACGAACAUAGACGAGGGUCUGGACCAUGGCAAUUGCGGGACGCGCGGUGACUGUCACGCGGGCGUGCGGGACCACGAGGUACGAGGGCUGACGUACGGGGCGUGUGGGCGUCAUCUAUUUCGCCCACACGCGCGCGUGUGAGAGGGAUCGGGAGGGGAAAAAAGAGGUGUGUGGGCAUUACUUUUUUUGCCCACACGUGAGUGUGUGGGCUGUUCGUCUUAUACACCACACAAAAUGUGUUGGCAGCCCCACGCCUACACGUGUGACACUUAUGGGCGUCCUUUUUUGGGGGAGCUGUAUAUUUCGACCCGCGUAUCCCAUAUCGUCAGUUUUUCAUCAUGGUUUUGUAGUUUCCUCUAUCUUUGGCGGGAGGGACUUUUAGGCACCAACCACUCCCGUCGGACCCGGCGCCACUAGCAUCGCCACCUCGUGAGCUUGAUUUUGGCCAAAUAAAAGAGAAGUGGUGGCCAGCCAGAGGAGCGUAUGAUACUGAGGAGUCGACCGGGAGCAGGAGCUCGACCGCAUACGCCCCGCCUCGGGCUGCUGCUCGCCCCGCCGCAGGAGCUCGGCCACAAGCUGUCGCUUGUCUGCAGCAGUAACUUGCCUCAGGCGUGAGGAGGAGGCUGCCGUAGACACCGCUCGAUCUGGUGAAGGCUGCCCCUUCUCGAUCCGGUGGAGGCCUCCGCAGGCAUGGCUCGCUCCAGUGGAGGCCGCCGCAGAAUCCUGCACUUCUGCUUGAUGCACUCCGCGAGAUGAAUGUGUGGAUGUGUAUGUGAGGGAGGGGACCCAAUUCCAAUCUAUAUACUAUCAUGAAGGACCUUGUUGUAAAUUCAACUAUAGACUAGUGGGCUCCACAUUUGACUGUUGAUGAUUUUUGCGGGAUCUGUUCUGCCCGAUGCUGCGUGGUACUGCAAAUCCUGUUUAGGGGGAACCAUAUACUAUUUUUGCAUGACGGAUUUUUGUGGGAUCUUUUAGAGUUCCUCUAAGGCAAACAAUUCCGCAACAGCGUAUGUCUUGUGGUCGACACUUAUGCAAUACUCCCUCUAUAUCAAAGAUGUUUUUUUUCAUACAAUUUGUAUCAAAACAUCUCUUAUAUUUUGAUGCAGAGGGAAUAUCAUACAACCUAAACGAAUCAUCCUCAAUGCAAACAUGUCAUAUCACAUACAAUUAUGUAUGGGAUAAGAGCACCUCAACAUGCAACCAUGCAUGAAAAAGACUCUCAACCACAUACAACCAUGUAUGGGAUUUUUUUUUAUUCUACUUACUCAAAUAAAUAUUUCACAACCAUACAUAAUCGAAUCCAACAAGGCGUAUGUAUUUUAAAUUUGAUUCAUGUGUUAUUAACUAAAUAAUUAUAUACCAUGAAAUCAAAUCUUAUUGCAAUCAAUUCCCGUAGCAACGCGCGGGGUAUCAUCAAGUUUCGUGCUUUGGUCCUUCCAGGUCCAGUUUCGCUGUCAUGUUGUGAUCUCGAAGCUGUGGUCAGCGUUGUUAGCGGUCCAAAUCCAGCAAUCUUGCACAGUGUAAUGCUGAAAGCUGUGUUUGAGCGUCCCAAGCAGCCCAGUGUGCGCCAAUAAUCCAGGAAACUGUGCUUGUGAAUGUGAAGUCAGCUUUUGGAGCCUCGACUUGUCUCUCUUGCAAACGGGAGCCUACCGCCAAUUUAUUUCUCUCUCGCCCAUGCGUACUAUCUAAAAUUGAUGUGCGUGGCCGGGGGCCGGUGCAAUAUCCCCGGUCCCUCCCGUCCCAUGUGCAGCCAUGGGUUCAAAUUCAAUGCACGCACUACGGAUUUCCAGCCGAGAGUUGGCCGGAACGUAGGGUCAACCGGACAAGUGCAAUGUCGUCGUGGUGCCACCGAGCGUGCGUACGCAUUUCCUGGCAUUUGCACGUGACGUUUGAAACGAGAUGCGUGCCGUGCCAGGGAGCAGGAGAUUUACUCCGCCUCGAUCUUAACGGAACGCCUCAAUGGGAUGGAGCAACUUCAAUAAUAACUCAUGCUGAUGAUACACGGGAGGGAGACGACGCUCUUCCGUGUCCGUCCUGCCGACCCGAGAGCUCACGCAACAGUGGUUCACACGGCAACAUCACAUAAAUCUCACACAUGCUAUCAUGCUAUGAGAUACUCUUUCUGACUGAUUGCUUCCCUGUUUCGGUUCUGAUUCUGAAGAACAGUCCCGCGACGCGACGCAGCAGUGAUACUCGUGGUUCCGAAGAGUCCUGCGUAUGGACGGAUACAGCCUUGUGAUUGCUAACCAUGCGUUCUGCGUGGUUGUUUGUUUAUUUCUUUAAUUUCAAAGAACUUGCGUGGUUGCUCCGUGUAUCGAUCGGCCGACAGAUACGCCCGGUCGCAUGGCCAUAGGGCACGGCGUGGAGAGCUCUGUCGUCGACCAACCUUGAGGGCUGAGUCCGGACCAAACGAUUGUUCAGCUGGCGAGUCGUGCUCGUAUGGAUGACACGCACGCACGCACGCACGCGCGCACACACACUCACACAAAAAAAA
rnacentral:lncRNA from 1 species